UCCAGACUCCUACGGGAGGCAGCAGUGAGGAAUAUUGGUCAAUGGCCGGAAGGCUGAACCAGCCAAGCCGCGUGAAGGACGAAGGUGCCAAGCAUUGUAAACUUCUUUUGUCAAGGGACAAAAUCAGGCUCGAGAGCCUGACCGAGGGUACUUGAAGAAAAAGCAUCGGCUAACUCCGUGCCAGCAGCCGCGGUAAUACGGAGGAUGCGAGCGUUAUCCGGAUUUAUUGGGUUUAAAGGGUGCGUAGGGGGGACUGUUAAGUCGGCGGAAAAGGCCGGGGGCUCACCCCCGGCGAGCCGUUGAAACUGGCUGUCUUGAGAUGUCGAGAGGUAUGCGGAAUGCGCAGUGUAGCGGUGAAAUGCUUAGAUAUCGCGCAGAACCCCGAUUGCGAAGGCAGCGUACCGGCUCCACACUGACGCUGAGGCACGAAAGCGUGGGUAUCGAACAGGAUUAGAUACCCCAGUAAU
rnacentral:rRNA from 1 species